rnacentral:rRNA from 1 species
CUCAUUCAAAGAGUGCGUAAUAGCUCACUGGUCGAGUGAUCCUGCGCCGAAGAUUUCCGGGGCUAAAACUUACUACCGAAGCUACGGCAUCAGUAAUGAUGGGGAGGGGAGCUUCCCAUACGGGUUGAAGCAUGACCGUAAGGACAUGUGGACAGUAUGGGAGGGAGAAUGUUGGCAUGAGUAGCGAGAUGUGGGUGAGAAUCCCACAGGCCGUAAACCCAAGGUUUCCAGGG